AAAUUGAAGAGUUUGAUCAUGGCUCAGAUUGAACGCUGGCGGCAGGCCUAACACAUGCAAGUCGAGCGGUAGCACAGAGAGCUUGCUCUCGGGUGACGAGCGGCGGACGGGUGAGUAAUGUCUGGGAAACUGCCUGAUGGAGGGGGAUAACUACUGGAAACGGUAGCUAAUACCGCAUAAUGUCGCAAGACCAAAGUGGGGGACCUUCGGGCCUCAUGCCAUCAGAUGUGCCCAGAUGGGAUUAGCUAGUAGGUGGGGUAACGGCUCACCUAGGCGACGAUCCCUAGCUGGUCUGAGAGGAUGACCAGCCACACUGGAACUGAGACACGGUCCAGACUCCUACGGGAGGCAGCAGUGGGGAAUAUUGCACAAUGGGCGCAAGCCUGAUGCAGCCAUGCCGCGUGUGUGAAGAAGGCCUUCGGGUUGUAAAGCACUUUCAGCGGGGAGGAAGGCGGUGAGGUUAAUAACCUCACCGAUUGACGUUACCCGCAGAAGAAGCACCGGCUAACUCCGUGCCAGCAGCCGCGGUAAUACGGAGGGUGCAA
rnacentral:rRNA from 1 species